AUUGAACGCUGGCGGCAGGCCUAACACAUGCAAGUCGAGCGGAUGACGGGAGCUUGCUCCUUGAUUCAGCGGCGGACGGGUGAGUAAUGCCUAGGAAUCUGCCUGGUAGUGGGGGACAACGUUUCGAAAGGAACGCUAAUACCGCAUACGUCCUACGAGAGAAAGCAGGGGACCUUCGGGCCUUGCGCUAUCAGAUGAGCCUAGGUCGGAUUAGCUAGUUGGUGGGGUAAUGGCUCACCAAGGCGACGAUCCGUAACUGGUCUGAGAGGAUGAUCAGUCACACUGGAACUGAGACACGGUCCAGACUCCUACGGGAGGCAGCAGUGGGGAAUAUUGGACAAUGGGCGAAAGCCUGAUCCAGCCAUGCCGCGUGUGUGAAGAAGGUCUUCGGAUUGUAAAGCACUUUAAGUUGGGAGGAAGGGCAGUAAGCUAAUACCUUGCUGUUUUGACGUUACCGACAGAAUAAGCACCGGCUAACUCUGUGCCAGCCGCCGCAGUAACAC
rnacentral:rRNA from 1 species